rnacentral:rRNA from 1 species
UAAGGAAUAUUGGACAAUGGAGGCAACUCUGAUCCAGCCAUGCCGCGUGAAGGAAUAAGGCCCUAUGGGUUGUAAACUUCUUUUAGACGGGACAAAACCCCUUUACGUGUAAAGGGUUGAUGGUACUGUCAGAAUAAGCAUCGGCUAACUUCGUGCCAGCAGCCGCGGUAAUACGAAGGAUGCAAGCGUUAUCCGGAAUUAUUGGGUUUAAAGGGUGCGUAGGCGGACUAAUAAGUCAGUGGUGAAAGCCUGCAGCUUAACUGCAGAAUUUCCAUUGAUACUGUUAGUCUUGAGUACAGUUGAGGUAGGCGGAAUGUGUCAUGUAGCGGUGAAAUGCUUAGAUAUCACACAGAACACCGAUUGCGAAGGCAGCUUGCUAAGCUGUAACUGACGCUGAGGCACGAAAGCGUGGGGAGCAAACA